rnacentral:rRNA from 1 species
UGGCGGACGGGUGAGUAACGCGUGGGUAACCUGCCUCACACUGGGGGAUAACAGUUAGAAAUAGCUGCUAAUACCGCAUAAGCGCACGGUUCCGCAUGGAACAGUGUGAAAAACUCCGGUGGUGUGAGAUGGACCCGCGUCUGAUUAGCCAGUUGGCGGGGUAACGGCCCACCAAAGCGACGAUCAGUAGCCGACCUGAGAGGGUGACCGGCCACAUUGGGACUGAGACACGGCCCAA